AGAGUUUGAUCCUGGCUCAGGAUGAACGCUGGCGGCAUGCCUAAUACAUGCAAGUCGAACGAAGUUUCGAGGAAGCUUGCUUCCAAAGAGACUUAGUGGCGAACGGGUGAGUAACACGUAGGUAACCUGCCCAUGUGUCCGGGAUAACUGCUGGAAACGGUAGCUAAAACCGGAUAGGUAUACAGAGCGCAUGCUCAGUAUAUUAAAGCGCCCAUCAAGGCGUGAACAUGGAUGGACCUGCGGCGCAUUAGCUAGUUGGUGAGGUAACGGCCCACCAAGGCGAUGAUGCGUAGCCGGCCUGAGAGGGUAAACGGCCACAUUGGGACUGAGACACGGCCCAAACUCCUACGGGAGGCAGCAGUAGGGAAUUUUCGUCAAUGGGGGAAACCCUGAACGAGCAAUGCCGCGUGAGUGAAGAAGGUCUUCGGAUCGUAAAGCUCUGUUGUAAGUGAAGAACGGCUCAUAGAGGAAAUGCUAUGGGAGUGACGGUAGCUUACCAGAAAGCCACGGCUAACUACGUGCCAGCAGCCGCGGUAAUACGUAGGUGGCAAGCGUUAUCCGGAAUCAUUGGGCGUAAAGGGUGCGUAGGUGGCGUACUAAGUCUGUAGUAAAAGGCAAUGGCUCAACCAUUGUAAGCUAUGGAAACUGGUAUGCUGGAGUGCAGAAGAGGGCGAUGGAAUUCCAUGUGUAGCGGUAAAAUGCGUAGAUAUAUGGAGGAACACCAGUGGCGAAGGCGGUCGCCUGGUCUGUAACUGACACUGAGGCACGAAAGCGUGGGGAGCAAAUAGGAUUAGAUACCCUAGUAGUCCACGCCGUAAACGAUGAGAACUAAGUGUUGGAGGAAUUCAGUGCUGCAGUUAACGCAAUAAGUUCUCCGCCUGGGGAGUAUGCACGCAAGUGUGAAACUCAAAGGAAUUGACGGGGGCCCGCACAAGCGGUGGAGCAUGUGGUUUAA
rnacentral:rRNA from 1 species